AGUGAACGCUGGCGGUAGGCCUAACACAUGCAAGUCGAACGGCAGCACAGUAAGAGCUUGCUCUUACGGGUGGCGAGUGGCGGACGGGUGAGGUAUACAUCGGAAUCUACUUUUUCGUGGGGGAUAACGUAGGGAAACUUACGCUAAUACCGCAUACGACCUACGGGUGAAAGCAGGGGAUCUUCGGACCUUGCGCGAUUGAAUGAGCCGAUGUCGGAUUAGCUAGUUGGCGGGGUAAAGGCCCACCAAGGCGAGGAUCCGUAGCUGGUCUGAGAGGAUGAUCAGCCACACUGGAAGUGAGACACGGUCCAGACUCCUACGGGACGCAGCAGUGGGGAAUAUGGGACAAUGGGCGCAAGCCUGAUCCAGCCAUACCGAGUGGGUGAAGAAGGCCUUCGGGUUGUAAAGCCCUUUUGUUGGGAAAGAAAAGCAGCAGGUUAAUACCCCGCUGUUCUGACGGUACCCAAAGAAUAAGCACCGGCUAGCUUCGUG
rnacentral:rRNA from 1 species